rnacentral:lncRNA from 1 species
GCAUCUCAUCUCCUAGUGAGAAAUGAGGAAAAAUACCUCUGGGUUAAAUGGCAGGAAUGAGAUGCUCUGUGGACUGAAUGCCAGGAACUGGAAGUUUGCCCAUAUUUCAUCAUCACAUGAGAACCUUCCUAGAAUAGAUCCAGUGUCCCUGCCCCCUGGGUCAUAGGUAGCGGAAUUCAGUUAAUCCUUGGCAUUGGCAUAGAGAAACAAGUUACUGGGGAGGCCUGGGGCAUGGCAUCCCUGCCAGCUGGCAGGAGGAGGUGGCUUGUGUGCCUUGCAGGUGACAGUGUGGGCAGCUCAUGAAGGUAGGCUUGAAGCCCCAGGCAAGCCCAGUGACCCGGUCACAGUGAAGUGCCUGUGUGUGUAAGAAACUGACAGAGUGUGCUGUCCCUGCCUCCUACUCUUUCACAUGUGUAGAUCGUAGCUGGGGUGAACUACUUCUUGGACGUGGAGCUGGGCCGAACCACGUGUACCAAGACCCAGCCCAACUUGGACAACUGCCCCUUCCAUGACCAGCCACAUCUGAAAAGGAAAGCAUUCUGCUCUUUCCAGAUCUACGCUGUGCCUUGGCAGGGCACAAUGACCUUGUCGAAAUCCACCUGUCAGGAUGCCUAGGGGUCUGUACCGGGCUGGCCUGUGCCUAUCACCUCUUACGCACACCUCCCACCGCCUGUAUUCCCACCCCUGGACUGGUGGCCCCAGCCUUGGGGAAGGUCUCCCCAUGUGCCUGCACCAGGAGACAGACAGAGAAGGCAGCAGGCGGCCUUUGUUGCUCAGCAAGGGGCUCUGCCCUCCCUCCUUCCUUCUUGCUUCUCAUAGCCCCGGUGUGCGGUGCAUACACCCCCACCUCCUGCAAUAAAACAGUAGCAUCGGCUCCCUCUGAGUUCUUGGCUGUCUGGGGAUGUGCACACAGGCAGGGUUUCCGCAGUUCCUUUAUGAAGCCUCCUUGUCCUGCUGGUGUGAAGAUGAGAGGAGUACCUGG